rnacentral:snRNA from 1 species
UCUUAUCAGUUUAAUAUCUGAUAUGUCCUCUAUCCAAGGACAAUAUAUUAAAUGGAUUUUUGUAUCAGGGAAAUGAAAUAGGGCUUAUUCUAUCCACUUCAUGCAUCGACCUGGUAUUGCAGUAUCUCCAGGAAUGGUGA